CCCUUCCUUGCCCCCAUGGCUCCAUUCUCACAUUCUCUACUUCACAACCAUCACCUCCAACUCUUUCUCCUUCUCCAAUGGCCUCCGAUCUUGGCUUCUCGCCGCUCGCCUCGCACCUCACCCUUCGUCCCCGCCCCCUUCUUCCUCUCCUUCGCACUUUCGUUUCCUCUCGUUCUUCUCCUCAUCGCAGAUCUCUUGGUCGUUGUUUGGCUCAUUUCCAUGGCCAUCGCCGCCACCGGGUUGUGCUCUUGCGUCGUCCCCGGGUCGCCGAUCAACCAGGUCAGGUUCAGCAAGAUGAUGUUGUUGAUGACAAAAUCUUGCCAUAUUGUAGCUUAGAUAAGAAAGCUGAGAAGAGGACGAUAGGAGAGAUGGAACAGGAGUUUUUGCAAGCUUUACAAUCAUUCUACUAUGAUAAAGAGCCGAUAAUGUCAAAUGAGGAAUUUGAUAAUCUCAAAGAAGAAUUGAUGUGGGAAGGAAGCAGCGUGGUUAUGUUAAGUCCUGAUGAGCAAAAGCUUUUGGAAGCUUCGAUGGCAUAUGCUUCGGGCAAUCCGAUUAUGACAGAUGCAGAAUUUGACGAGUUGAAGAUGAGAUUAAGGAAAGAGGGAAGUGACAUUGUACAAGAAGGCCCACGUUGUAGUCUUCGAAGCAGGAAGGUCUACAGUGACUUGUCUGUUGACUAUUUCAAAAUGUUCCUGUUAAAUGUGCCAGCUGCAGUUGUUGCUUUGGGAUUGUUUUUCUUUUUAGAUGAUUUGACGGGAUUUGAAAUAACUUACCUGUUGGAGUUGCCUGAGCCAUUCAGUUUCAUUUUCACAUGGUUUGCUGCUGUGCCCCUCAUAUUUUGGUUAUCACAGGCAUUCACUAAUGCCAUUUUGAAGGACUUUUUGAUCCUAAAGGGUCCUUGCCCAAACUGUAGUACAGAAAAUGUCUCUUUCUUUGGGACUAUAUUGUCUAUCUCCAGUGGCGGCUCAACAAAUACUGUGAAGUGUUCAAAUUGCGCAACCACCAUGGUGUAUGACUCGCGAGCUCGCUUGAUCACCCUUCCAGAGCCAAGUGAAGCCUGAGUAUGGGUAACUAUACUCCCGUCGCAUCUCAAGAAAUGAGUGUUGAAACAGUACGACUUUAAAGAAUGAUCAUUUUGGAUCUUCAAUUUUAUAUUGUUAUAGAUUGAUAUUGAAGGAAGCCUGAAGCUCAAUGCUGCACAUCCAUCAUCACUUGGGCACUGACUGAUUUCUGGUAAAUGCUCUCGAUACUCAUGUAUUUAUAAGCAAUAGAAACUUUAUCGCAGCCUUUUUGUGUAUAUUUAUAUUGUAUUUCAGUUUCAGCGUUGUACUUUUCAGUUAUGUUGAUAAAUAAACUAGGUGAUGAUCAAUGCCAACUGCCCUGUAUAAAGUAGAAAUUUGCGUAUCUCCCUUUCCACAUUGUGAUAUUCAGAAUGUUUGUAGUUGCUUUGCAACUAAAGAAAGAAAGGAUGACUACCAUGAAUACAACAGAAAAUAGUGAACUCGCAUACCGUGAAAAAUUUA